CGAUCAGCAUUAUUACCACCACCAUUACAAUUACCGGCACUACAGGUGCUGGGGUGGGCUGAUACGCAUAAGUUUCAGAGAAAAAGCCCGCACUCAGCAAGUGCGGGCUUUUUUUUA
rfam:Photobacterium marinum strain AK15 contig40, whole genome shotgun sequence.